rnacentral:rRNA from 1 species
GACGUAGGGCGCGAGCGUUGUCCGGAAUUAUUGGGCGUAAAGAGCUCGUAGGCGGUUUGUCGCGUCGGCCGUGAAAUCUCCACGCUUAACGUGGAGCGUGCGGUCGAUACGGGCAGACUUGAGUUCGGUAGGGGGAGACUGGAAUUCCUGGUGUAGCGGUGGAAAUGCGCAGAUAUCAGGAGGAACACCUGUGGUGUAGACAGCUUGCUGGACCAUCACUGACGCUGAGGCACGAAAGCGUGGGUAGCAAACAGG